rfam:Streptomyces sp. 769, complete genome.
CGGUAGCUGAACUCCCAUUGCCCGUCGGCGCUGUUCAGCGGGGCGUCGCCGAGGUGGUCGCCGCCGGCCAGCGCUUCCAGGACGGUCUCGUCGCCGUAUUUGCCGGUGCCGAUCCGGUCGACCCGGCCGUGCGCGAUCAGCACCACCCGGUCGUGCGGGGCGCCGGACCGGGCGAUCAUCUCGCCGGGGGCGUACUCGUGCUGAGUAAACCUUUGGGCGAGCUCGGAGAGCACCGUGGGGUCGGUGAACUCCCACAGUGUGGGCAGUUCGCGCAGUUCCUCGGGGAUGAUCGCGACCGAGCCGCCGUCGAUGUCGAAGUCGAUCCGCCCGUCGCCGACGGUGUGGGUCAGGCGCCGGUUGACGCGGUACGUGCCGCCGGAGACCUGCACCCAGGGCAGCAGCCGCAGCAGCCAGCGGGAGGUGAUGCCCUGCAUCUGCGGCGCGGUCUUGGUGGUCGUCGCCAGAUUCCGCGCGGCGGAGGUACUCAGGCUGGAAUUCUGGCUCUCUUCGGCGCUUCCG